GACGAACGCUGGCGGCGUGCCUAAUACAUGCAAGUCGAGCGAGCUUGCCUAGAUGAAUUUGGUGCUUGCACCAAAUGAAACUAGAUACAAGCGAGCGGCGGACGGGUGAGUAACACGUGGGUAACCUGCCCAAGAGACUGGGAUAACACCUGGAAACAGAUGCUAAUACCGGAUAACAACACUAGACGCAUGUCUAGAGUUUAAAAGAUGGUUCUGCUGUCACUCUUGGAUGGACCUGCGGUGCAUUAGCUAGUUGGUAAGGCAACGGCUUACCAAGGCAAUGAUGCAUAGCCGAGUUGAGAGACUGAUCGGCCACAUUGGGACUGAGACACGGCCCAAACUCCUACGGGAGGCAGCAGUAGGGAAUCUUCCACAAUGGACGCAAGUCUGAUGGAGCAACGCCGCGUGAGUGAAGAAGGGUUUCGGCUCGUAAAGUUCUGUUGGUAGUGAAGAAAGAUAGAGGUAGUAACUGGCCUUUAUUUGACGGUAAUUACUUAGAAAGUCACGGCUAACUACGUG
rnacentral:rRNA from 1 species